GAUGAACGCUGGCGGCGUGCCUAACACAUGCAAGUCGAGCGAUUCUCUUCGGAGAAGAGCGGCGGACGGGUGAGUAACGCGUGGGUAACCUGCCCUGUACACACGGAUAACAUACCGAAAGGUAUGCUAAUACGAGAUAAUAUGCUCUUAUCGCAUGGUAGAAGUAUCAAAGCUCCGGCGGUACAGGAUGGACCCGCGUCUGAUUAGCUAGUUGGUAAGGUAACGGCUUACCAAGGCGACGAUCAGUAGCCGACCUGAGAGGGUGAUCGGCCACAUUGGAACUGAGACACGGUCCAAACUCCUACGGGAGGCAGCAGUGGGGAAUAUUGCACAAUGGGCGAAAGCCUGAUGCAGCAACGCCGCGUGAGCGAUGAAGGCCUUCGGGUCGUAAAGCUCUGUCCUCAAGGAAGAUAAUGACGGUACUUGAGGAGGAAGCCCCGGCUAACUACGUGCCAGCCGCCGCGGUAA
rnacentral:rRNA from 1 species